UAAUACAGAGGGUGCAAGCGUUAAUCGGAAUUACUGGGCGUAAAGCGCGCGUAGGCGGUUUUUUAAGUCGGAUGUGAAAUCCCUGGGCUCAACCUAGGCACUGCAUCCGAUACUGGGAGACUAGAGUGUGGGAGAGGAAGGUAGAAUUCCAGGUGUAGCGGUGAAAUGCGUAGAGAUCUGGAGGAAUACCGAUGGCGAAGGCAGCCUUCUGGCCUGACACUGACGCUGAGGUGCGAAAGCAUGGGGAGCAAACAGG
rnacentral:rRNA from 1 species